rnacentral:rRNA from 1 species
AUACGUAGGUGGCAAGCGUUGUCCGGAUUUAUUGGGCGUAAAGCGAGCGCAGGCGGUUUCUUAAGUCUGAUGUGAAAGCCCCCGGCUCAACCGGGGAGGGUCAUUGGAAACUGGGAGACUUGAGUGCAGAAGAGGAGAGUGGAAUUCCAUGUGUAGCGGUGAAAUGCGUAGAUAUAUGGAGGAACACCAGUGGCGAAGGCGACUCUCUGGUCUGUAACUGACGCUGAGGCUCGAAAGCGUGGGGAGCAAACAGGAUUAGAUACCCUGGUAGUCCACGCCGUAAACGAUGAGUGCUAAGUGUUGGAGGGUUUCCGCCCUUCAGUGCUGCAGCUAACGCAUUAAGCACUCCGCCUGGGGAGUACGACCGCAAGGUUGAAACUCAAAGGAAUUGGCGGGG